rnacentral:lncRNA from 1 species
AGCGUUAGUGGCUUUUGCAUCCGGCACACCUCGCUGCGUUUAUGCUGGGCACCGAAGCCCCGCAGUUGUCUGCUGCUUGGUGAAGUCCUCGCUAGAUCAUUAGCUCCAAAUGAGAGCAGAGAUCUUAUGUGAUGUAUGUGCUGCCGUUAUCUUCCAGAACAGGCCAGAGACACUCUUAGCUGGGUCCACCACCUGAGGGGAUCAUCUUGAAGUAAGGUCCCUGCUCUCAUGGAAAUUGCAUCCUAUUGGGGUUACAACGAAAAUUAAGCAAAACGGCUAUAGUUUUCACGUGUUUUGAAUAAUAGGAUUGCGAGAGACGACUCAGCGGAAACUCGCAUGUUGAGAGUGCAGUCAUGUGAUCAACUGGGCACAGAGUUCACUACACUCUGUGCAUAUAAACUAAGGAGGUGCCUUAUGCUGGGCACUGCGCUAAAGGAGGAAGGCGUGGUUUCUGCUCCCAGGGCACUGGUCUAGUACCCUGUUCGCCAGGUUGAGUGAUUGGUAAACGAACUCUCAGCAUCAAUACCUUUGGGAGUUUUUUGCAAGUGCAAAGUAUCCAGUUUCUCAGAUUGGAUUCCUGUCAAGUGUUUUUACCUUUAUCUAUGCACUUUACUUUCAGAAGGUCUGGUGGUGGAAAUAUUACAAGGCAUAGGUAAACGUAUCACCUUUGGCUUGUGCCUUUUUUGCUCCAAGCCUGCUACUGUCUUUAAUUCUAACAAGCUUGUAAGAUGCACUAUAGAACCUGAAGCCAACUCAAUUUUUGUGCCGUCAGCGGACAACCCUGACCCAAUCCAUACCAUAGAGGCUCACCAGGUGUGGUGCAUGAGAUUUUAAAUUGGUAUAUGAAUGAAUAUUGUUUUGUUUUAAUGGUUACAUGGGCUUUUUUAUACCUUUAUUAAUGAAAAUAUCUAAUUCUCAGAAAUAAAUUUUAAAUUGGGUUAAGAAUCAAAAUAAAUGUUA